UACAGAGGUCUCAAGCGUUGUUCGGAUUCAUUGGGCGUAAAGGGUGCGUAGGCGGCGCGGUAAGUCGGGUGUGAAAUCUUGGAGCUUAACUCCGAAACUGCAUUCGAUACUGCCGUGCUUGAGGACUGGAGAGGAGACUGGAAUUUACGGUGUAGCGGUGAAAUGCGUAGAUAUCGUAAGGAAGACCAGUGGCGAAGGCGGGUCUCUGGGCCGAUACUGACGCUGAGGAGCGAAGGCCAGGGGAGCAAACGGG
rnacentral:rRNA from 1 species